GCCGUCCUGGGAAUAUAGCAGGCGGAGGAGUGACCGCUUCUGUCCGGAAGGAGAAAAACAGAGCGGUAGAAGCGGCCGCUUCGCUGCGCCUUUCCGCCUCCGUAGCUGUUUGAUUCCGUACCUUGAACCGCGCCGCGGAGACGCUUGAUUUGCCAGAUUGCUGACUCUGAGGGUCUGCAAGUCCAAGCCUAAGUGUCCUCCUGAGGCGGCCAGCGAUAGUGUCGAGGACAAGCUUUCACAAGCCGAAGAACCGGGCUGCAAGACUAUAUGCGUUCCUGUUAAGACUGUAUGCAUAGUUCAGAUGACAGCAGUGACUUGCGCACUCUACUGAUUUUUGGUAAGAACAACUGUUGACUUCAAACACCUUCAAAAAAGUUAAUCUGAACCUACAAGCUGUAAUAGCCAGAGUCUGCCAAGGAGCCUUCUUUUCACAAUGAGGACUUGGAAAGCCUCUUCCGGACAAGACUUCCAUGUCUAUCUCAAAGGAAAGUGGUCCAGCUUCUGCAAAGCCGAAUCAGCUAGGCAAAGUGACUUGCUUUCAUCUUUAGCACAGAAACACCUGGUUUUGAUACUUUUUCUGCCAGUCAAGGCCAUAGCCUGGCCAGGGCUAAGACUUACACUGGGAGGAGCUUCCCUAUCCUAUCUCUAAAAGAAAUUCUCAGUAAUAACUUGUAGAACAGCUGCCUUUGUCAUAAAUAACUUGUAAAUAACUGUAACUAUAUACUUAUAUAUACAAUUCUUUGAAAGUACCAUUUACCUUUUCGUCACAAACAAACCAAUUCAAAACUAUCAAAGGAAACAUCUCUUUGUCUCAGGUAGAUUUUACAGGUCAUAUUCUGGUACUUAAAUAUUGCAGUACAUAAGUGUCGGAGUCUUCCCCUUGGUCAGGGUGAUUUUGAAAGGUGGAAAAGUCUCUGCUCCAACCUGUGCCUUCAAAGAAAGACUCAGUAGUCCUCAACCGUCCAGUCUCAAUGUUGUUUAUUGUAAGUUAUCUUAAGAUUUUCUUCUGGGCUGCUGCGGUCUGCUCAGCAGGUCAGCCAGAGGCACACUCUGCACACUCUCCGCCCCCGAGGCUGGUGCUAUCUUUUAUAUUAAAAACUAUGUGUAUUGUAUUUACAAUUCCGUUCCAAUAGCUAUCACCUAUGUUAGACAGUCAGCUUCUAUUCUAAACCAAUCUAAAAGUGCCAACAUCACCCAAAUCAUGGAGGCUAGGAAGAAGAAGGAAGAAAGACAAGGCAUGCCCUGAUUCCUCCAUCUUAGAACUUCUGACCCCCAUGUACAAAAUCCAAACCCCACUGUACAGAGGUCAGAACCCUGCUCUGUACAGCACUCAGAAAUUUUUCCCUUCACUUUGUGAUUAUCUCUACUAUACUACCUAAACUUGUAUGACUUGUAAUUCUUCAUACAGAAUUGGUAAUUUGCUCCAUGGACUAAGAUCAAAACCCCACGUGUCUUUGGCUGCAUGCCAGGGUCUCAGAGCCCCCUGCCAGUGGCUCAGGCCAUCCAGGGCACCCAGAGGGAUGUCCUGGGUUCCAACACAUAAGAUUGUCAAAUCAGCACUUGACAUUCUUCUGUAUAAAUAAAACAUAUUUUAAGGAAAAUAAUCUUAGGAGUUAUGUACAAAAGAAACUAGCAAGCAUUAUUGAAAUAAAAUGCAACAUCACUGCCAAUCUCGCUAUCUGAAAUACCUUUGAAGUAAAUUUAACAAGACCCUUAAAAUGUAUAUAAACAUAUUUUAAACUGUUAAACUGUGGGAUAUAGGUAACAUCAGUAAGAUGACAGGAUAUCAAGGGUUUGUGAAAAAGUUAAUUGAAAUUGCUUGCCUGGUGUUUUCUGCAAUCCAGUAAAGACAUAUUUAAGUUUCAUGUCAUGAAGGAUUGCGAAGUACAUAGCUUAAUAUUGUUUCAACUGCUAAUGAUGAUUAAGACUGAACAAGACAUUACUGCAUGCUGCAACUUUCUACACUAGAAUUAAAGAUUUGUAAAAUAAUGGAUUGCUUAUCAUCUAUCUUAAAUUAGAGAUCUAUUGUACAAUGAUCUCCUAGCAAAGGUACCAAGUAUGAUACCAUACCAAAAUCUGUUUUAAAUAAAGUGUACUGAUACGUUGUUGCCAACACACUGGAAAAAACAUUCGCAUGAAAAGAAGCCCUUAGCCCUUUAAACACAACAGCUUUUGUCAGAAAGCAACUAAAAUCUCUUCAUUUGUAUUAAAAAGUUGUGAGAUCAAAAAUAAUUGGUACCAUACCUGUCAUCACAGUGACAUCUGCAAAAUUGUUAUACUUGACAACACCUACAGGAUUCUUAUGAGUACUGGAAAGAUAUGGAAUCUUACAUGGUUCUGGUUUCUUUCUGUAUUAAUUGUGAGUUAAGUGACUUCUAUUUCUUUAUAAUGACUGAGGAGCAUGGUGGCUGUUAACUAGAAGCAACAAAAAUAUCCUCCAUAGCUAGCUAGAUCUUAUAAUUAAAAAGAAAAAAAAAAAGCAGUGUGGGUGUUUGUAAGUCUCCGUCUGAAGUUUCUCUCAUCUGCCUCACGAUCAUUGUGAAAGGGACAGAAAUUGGGACCACUGAAAAGACCCUGUUUGAAAUCCUGGUCUUGUGGGAGAUGAUUGCUUGCCAGGGUCCCGAGGCCUGAACAGAGCUUCUGGCUUGCCAAGUCAUUGUUCACAGGUGUGUUUGCCCACCCCAUGGAACACUGCAUCCAGUGAAAAGAAACGGCGACACUGUGCUCUUUCUUCACCUAUAUCACUUCUCAAUAAUGGCCCUGGAAUUUCCCCACCUCCAAACUUGGCCGGACUCUUUCCUUGGGUGACCUUUGGUGGUCCCCACAGAAGACCCUUCAUUUACUGUACAACCACUGUGAUAGAUGGACUGAGAUGGGAGAAGCCUUUCCCUCAAGGACUGAGACAUGAGACCCCUAUAUGGAAAAACUCCCCUUUCCUCCCAAGGACUGAAACCUCUAACCUGGGUGGGGUGUGUAGGGGAGGCAAGCUGACCAAACCGAGAUGUUUGCCUGCAGGUUGUGACCACUGGACCAAGAAGACAAUGGUUCUUGCCCACUACUGAGAACAUGGAGUAUUUUAUCUGUUUCACCCCCUUUGCAAAUUUCAAUAGAGUUAUCAUAAAAAAAAAAGCCCUGAGUUAGCUUGAGAUUUCAAGAUCUCCCCUGACGUGAAUACAAGUGCCGUCGACUGGACUUGGAAGGACUUUGUCGUCUCUACGUUUGGUAGAUAUAUACCUUUCCUUUCUCUGCUUUCCUUUCUUUUUCCUUAUUCUUUCCCUUUUCCCCAAUUUCCCCGCAACCCAUUUUGCUGUGAUCAUUUAAUAAAGUACAUUGGU